rnacentral:rRNA from 1 species
GUCUAAGUAUAAGCAAUUAUACAGCGAAACUGCGAAUGGCUCAUUAUAUAAGUUAUCGUUUAUUUGAUAAUACCUUACUACUUGGAUAACCGUGGUAAUUCUAGAGCUAAUACAUGCUAAAAAUCCCGACUUCGGAAGGGUUGUAUUUAUUAGAUUAAAAACCAAUGCCCUUCGGGGCUCUCUGGUGAAUCAUGAUAACUAGUCGAAUCGACAGGCCUUGUGCCGGCGAUGGCUCAUUCAAAUUUCUUCCCUAUCAACUUUCGAUGUUUGGGUAUUGGCCAAACAUGGUGGCAACGGGUAACGGAGGGUUAGGGCUCGACCCCGGAGAAGGAGCCUGAGAAACGGCUACUACAUCCAAGGAAGGCAGCAGGCGCGCAAAUUACCCAAUCCCGACACGGGGAGGUAGUGACAAUAAAUACUGAUACAGGGCUCUUUUGGGUCUUGUAAUCGGAAUGAGUACAAUUUAAAUCCCUUAACGAGGAACAAUUGGAGGGCAAGUCUGGUGCCAGCAGCCGCGGUAAUUCCAGCUCCAAUAGCGUAUAUUAAAGUUGUUGUGGUUAAAAAGCUCGUAGUUGAACCUUGGGCCUGGCUGGCCGGUCCGCCUCACCGCGUGCACUGGUCCGGCCGGGCCUUUCCCUCUGCGGAACCCCAUGCCCUUCACUGGGCGUGGCGGGGAAACAGGACUUUUACUUUGAAAAAAUUAGAGUGCUCAAGGCAGGCCUAUGCUCGAAUACAUUAGCAUGGAAUAAUGAAAUAGGACGUUGCGGUUCUAUUUUGUUGGUUUCUAGGACCGCCGUAAUGAUUAAUAGGGACAGUCGGGGGCAUCAGUAUUCAAUUGUCAGAGGUGAAAUUCUUGGAUUUAUUGAAGACUAACUACUGCGAAAGCAUUUGCCAAGGAUGUUUUCAUUAAUCAGGAACGAAAGUUAGGGGAUCGAAGACGAUCAGAUACCGUCGUAGUCUUAACCAUAAACUAUGCCGACUAGGGAUCGGACGAUGUUAUAUUUUUUGACGCGUUCGGCACCUUACGAGAAAUCAAAGUGCUUGGGCUCCAGGGG